UACAGAGGGUGCGAGCGUUAUCCGGAUUUACUGGGUUUAAAGGGUGCGCAGGCGGAUAUGUAAGUCAGUGGUGAAAUCUCUGGGCUUAACCCGGAAAUUGCCAUUGAUACUAUAUAUCUUGAAUGUUGUGGAGGUAAGCGGAAUAUGUCAUGUAGCGGUGAAAUGCUUAGAUAUGACAUAGAACACCUAUUGCGAAGGCAGCUUACUACGCAGAUAUUGACGCUCAUGCACGAAAGCGUGGGGAUCAAACAGG
rnacentral:rRNA from 1 species